rnacentral:rRNA from 1 species
UACGUAGGGACCAAGCGUUGUUCGGAUUUACUGGGCGUAAAGGGCGCGUAGGCGGCUUAACAAGUCACUUGUGAAAUCUCCGGGCUUAACUCGGAACGGCCAAGUGAAACUGUCAAGCUAGAGUGCAGAAGGGGCAAUCGGAAUUCUUGGUGUAGCGGUGAAAUGCGCAGAUAUCAGGAGGAACACCGAUUGCGAAGGCAGCUCGCUGGAGCGUUACUGACGCUGAGACGCGAAAGCGUGGGGAGCAAACAGG